rnacentral:rRNA from 1 species
CCUACGGGAGGCUGCAGUGGGGAAUAUUGCACAAUGGGGGGAACCCUGAUGCAGCGACGCCGCGUGGGUGAAGGAGUACUUCGGUACGUAAAGCCCUAUCAGCAGGAAAGAAAAUGACGGUACCUGACUAAGAAGCCCCGGCUAACUACGUGCCAGCAGCCGCGGUAAUACGUAGGGGGCAAGCGUUAUCCGGAUUUAUUGGGUUUAAAGGGUGCGUAGGCGGUGAGGUAAGUCAGCGGUGAAAUGCCCCCGCUCAACGGGGUGAAGUGCCAUUGAUACUGCCUUGCUGGAAUGCGCAUGAGGUGGGAGGAAUGUGUGGUGUAGCGGUGAAAUGCAUAGAUAUCACACAGAACACCGAUUGCGAAGGCAUCUCACGAGUCCGCGAUUGACGCUGAUGCACGAAAGCGUGGGUAUCAAACAGGAUUAGAUACCCGGGUAGUC